CGUGGUCACGUGAUGAACGAACGACUCGAACCUGAAGACUCCAGACGUGAGCAAAUCGUUUCUGUUUCCGGGGAACAGACGUGACAAUUGUGACGUGACAAAACAAUGAACGACUCGGAUCUGGAGGUGAGGUGAACUAACAGACUGCAUGGCCUUAAGACCAGCUAAGCUAUUAAUUAAUAAUUUCUGUUUCUGAUAAUUUGGCCUUGGUUGGAUUAACAUAUUGUUUAUUUUAUAGUUUAUUAAGUAGCCUACUAGAUGUGUUGGGGAAUUUAACAUGUAAUAUUUGAAUUAUAUUCUGCUGAAAUAAACGAAAUGACUCGGAAAAAAACAUUCGUUCAUUUGGCUGAACGAGAUUCAAAGAUCCGAGUCAGUAAAAUGAUCCGAAUUUCCCAUCACUAUCCCCAGCGCGCUAGGACCUCUCGUCCUUAAUUACUCCCUCACGCGCGCUAAUUAAUUUGCAAUGGAUGAGCAGGUGCGCUUGAGAAGGUAGUUGUAGGUUCCUGGUGAGCGCGUGUCUGGUUGUCUGCCAUGGCCAGAACCGGAUUCUGUGAUUCCAGGACACUGCUGGACCGCAAGGCAGAAGAAGCCCGAUUCCCUUUGCGCGCGUGGGCGAACGCAUGCACUGUGCGGGAGCGAGGGGUGCUGAGUGAGGGAGAGGAGCAGAAACAGCAGCCCAAAGCAGACAAUACAGAGCACAGAUGGGUAAACUUGCGACCUCUUUCUUCCAGCUAGAGUGUGAGGUGCACACGCUCCAGAUCAGUUUUCUUCAGUCACUCUGGGUGUUUUCUCUCACACUUUUUUUUUCUUUCUUUUCUUAACGAACCAUACUCACUUCUGUUAAAGUGAGCCUGAAAGGGAACUAGCUGCAAAUGGACUCUGUGGCCUUUUGAAUUAUUAUUUUUAUUAUUAUUAUUAUUAUUAUUAUUAUUAUUAUUGAUGAGAUCUCAGACUAUUUCUUCACAACACAGCUCCUUUACCAUAGUUUAGUUUAAUAACUAUGGUAAUGGCGCUGUGCUGUGAACAAGUAGUCAGAUCUCAUCAAUGCUAAAACAAUUUGUAAACAAAUUUUAUUUGUAAACAAAUUUGUGGUCUUGACCAUGUUAAUUCCUUUUGUACAAAAGUCAGGCUUUCAGUGAGUCUUCUCCCUUCCACUGAAACGUGUUCAGACUACAUGCUGAUUUGAUUUGAGCUACAUGGAUUAUCAGGUUUUAAACAAACCAGUGGAGUCUGUGUCAGCUCAAGUGCACGCUGUCAUUAAUGGAAAAGGGGGACAUAAAUACUAAAAUUGUACAAAAUACAAAAAUUUCUGAGAUACCAUGUUUGACAAGUUGUUGCUAAUUAUUUGCAAGGAAAACCUUAUUGUGUUGCAUUGAAAGAGAAGCAUUUUCACUAGUGAUCUCGGACUUUCGGACCCCACUGUAUGUACAGUGACUUAAGUUCUUUUUCUUCAGUGAAAUGGACCAAGUGUGAAAACACCCUCCGUGUGUUGUCUUGAGUGUGCAAACACUCUACUCCUCCAGCAGGAGUCGAACAACGUUAACCUCCUGCUGUCCUUAACCAUAUUGUAAGGGACCACCUGAUUGACCCUUUCCUCCCAAAAUUUGCCCUCUUAUUACUCUGAGCAGAAAAAUGCCAUUAUUAUUAACAACAUUAAGUAAAUUUUUAUUGUUUAUUUAUUUAUUUAUUUAUUUUUAAAAGCUUGCUUUUGUAAUGGUGACCAUAGGUUUUGG
ensembl:lncRNA